rnacentral:rRNA from 1 species
GACGAACGCUGGCGGCGUGCUUAACACAUGCGAGUCGAACGGAAAGGCCCUGCUUUUGUGGGGUGCUCGAGUGGCGAACGGGUGAGUAACACGUGAGUAACCUGCCCUUGACUUUGGGAUAACUUCAGGAAACUGGGGCUAAUACCGGAUAGGAGCUCCUGCUGCAUGGUGGGGGUUGGAAAGUUUCGGCGGUUGGGGAUGGACUCGCGGCUUAUCCGCUUGUUGGUGGGGUAGUGGCUUACCAAGGCUUUGACGGGUAGCCGGCCUGAGAGGGUGACCGGCCACAUUGGGACUGAGGUACGGCCCAGACUCCUACGGGAGGCAGCAGUGGGGAAUAUUGCACAAUGGGCGGAAGCCUGAUGCAGCAACGCCGCGUGCGGGAUGACGGCCUUCGGGUUGUAAACCGCUUUCGCCUGUGACGAAGCGUGAGUGACGGUAAUGGGUAAAGAAGCACCGGCUAACUACGUG